GCUGGAAUAGCUCAGAUGGCUAGAGCGUGUGGCUGUUAACCACAAGGUUCAAGCCCUCCUUUCAGCG
rnacentral:tRNA from 1 species